GUCUACGGCCACACCACCCUGAACGCGCCGCCCGAUCCCGUCUGAUCUCGGAAGCUAAGCAGGGUCGGGCCUGGUUAGUACUUGGAUGGGAGGCAAGGAGCUGCUAGGGU
rnacentral:rRNA from 1 species